ACUCAAAUGAAUAGACGGGGGCCCGCACAAGCGGUGGAGCAUGUGGUUCAAUUCGACGCAACGCGAAGAACCUUACCUGGGCUCGAAAUGUAGUGGACCGGGGUGGAAACAUCCCUUCCCGCAAGGGCUGCUAUAUAGGUGCUGCAUGGCUGUCGUCAGCUCGUGUCGUGAGAUGUUGGGUUAAGUCCCGCAACGAGCGCAACCCUUAUUGCCAGUUGCCAUCAUUCAGUUGGGCACUCUGGCGAAACCGCCCCGGAUAACGGGGAGGAAGGUGGGGAUGACGUCAAGUCCUCAUGGCCUUUAUGUCCAGGGCUACACACGUGCUACAAUGGGUGGUACAAACCGUCGCAAACCCGCGAGGGGGAGCUAAUCGGAAAAAGCCAUCCUCAGUUCGGAUUGGAGUCUGCAACUCGACUCCAUGAAGCUGGAAUCGCUAGUAAUCGCGGAUCAGCACGCCGCGGUGAAUACGUUCCCGGGCCUUGUACACACCGCCCGU
rnacentral:rRNA from 1 species